GCCGAUUUAGCUCAGGGGUAGAGCUACUGUCUUGUAAACAGUGGGUCGGGAGUUCGAAUCUCUCAAUCGGCACCA
rnacentral:tRNA from 1 species